rnacentral:rRNA from 1 species
AGUGAACGCUGGCGGUAGGCCUAACACAUGCAAGUCGAACGGCAGCACAGUAAGAGCUUGCUCUUACGGGUGGCGAGUGGCGGACGGGUGAGGAAUACAUCGGAAUCUACUUUUUCGCGGGGGAUAACGUAGGGAAACUUACGCUAAUACCGCAUACGACCUACGGGUGAAAGCAGGGGAUCUUCGGACCUUGCGCGAUUGAAUGAGCCGAUGUCGGAUUAGCUAGUUGGCGGGGUAAAGGCCCACCAAGGCGACGAUCCGUAGCUGGUCUGAGAGGAUGAUCAGCCACAGUGGACUGGAGACCGGCUCCAGACUCCUAGGGGAGCGAGGAGGGGGGAAUAUUGGAAAAGGGGGGCAAGCUUGACCCACCCAUACGGGGUGGGUGAAGAAGGCUUUCGGGUUGUAAAGCCUUUUUGUGGGAAAAAAAAAGCAGAGGGUUAAUACCCCGCUGUUAUGCGGGACCCAAAAGAAGAAGCACCGGCUAAUUGCGU